GUUACAGGUAUACAAAGUAGUACCUAUAUAUUCCAGAGCUAUUGCCAGCAAGAAUGAAUAAACCAUUUUCUGUGCACACACAGCCAUAAGAAGUGAAUCAACCAUAUAAGAACAUUGAGACACUCAGUAUCUUGUAAGAAAUUACUUGUAGAAUGGGAUGUUGCUUCAGUGGAAGAAUUACUUUAUCAAUUGUGGGUGAUCAGUAUACUCUCAGAAAGUACAUCAUGAACCUCAGAUCACCAUAACUUAUAUUAAUAUUGCUGGUGUUCUUUUUCAGCCCUGUAUCACUUUUCACCACUAUAUUAAUUAGUAAAUAUUGUCAGUAUGGGCCAUGAUUUUAUAGCCA
rnacentral:lncRNA from 1 species